rnacentral:rRNA from 1 species
UAGGAUAGAGGCCUACCAUGGUGGUAACGGGUAACGGGGUGUUAGGGCACGACACCGGAGAGGGAGCCUGAGAAACGGCUACCACAUCCAAGGAUGGCAGCAGGCGCGCAAAUUACCCAAUCCCGACACGGGGAGGUAGUGACAAUAAAUAACAAUACGGGGUUCUUUAGGAUCUCGUAAUUGGAAUGAGUACAAUUUAAAUCUCUUAACGAGGAACAAUUGGAGGGCAAGUCUGGUGCCAGCAGCCGCGGUAAUUCCAGCUCCAAUAGCGUAUAUUAAAGUUGUUGCAGUUAAAAAGCUCGUAGUUGAAUUUCGGGGUUAGUAGGUUGGUCAUGCCUCUGGUAUGUACUGGUCUCACUGAUUCCUCCUUCCUUAUGAACCGUAAUGCCAUUAAUUUGGUGUUGCGGGGAAUUUGGACUGUUACUUUGAAAAAAUUAGAGUGUUUAAAGCAAGCUAACGCUUGAAUACAUUAGCAUGGAAUAAUGAAAUAGGACGUUCGAUCUUAUUUUGUUGGUUUCUAGGAUUGACGUAAUGAUUAAUAGGGAUAGUUGGGGGCAUUAGUAUUCAAUUGUCAGAGGUGAAAUUCUUGGAUUUAUUGAAGACUAACUACUGCGAAAGCAUUUGCCAAGGAUGUUUUCAUUAAUCAAGAACGAAAGUUAGGGGAUCGAAGACGAUCAGAUACCGUCGUAGUCUUAACCAUAAACUAUGCCGACUAGGGAUCGGA